rnacentral:rRNA from 1 species
UACGGAGGAUCCAAGCGUUAUCCGGAUUUAUUGGGUUUAAAGGGUGCGUAGGCGGCCUGUUAAGUCAGGGGUGAAAGACGGUAGCUCAACUAUCGCAGUGCCCUUGAUACUGAUGGGCUUGAAUACGCUAGAGGUAGGCGGAAUGUGACAAGUAGCGGUGAAAUGCAUAGAUAUGUCACAGAACACCGAUUGCGAAGGCAGCUUACUAUGGUGUCAUUGACGCUGAGGCACGAAAGCGUGGGGAUCAAACAGG